UACGUAGGGUGCAAGCGUUAAUCGGAAUUACUGGGCGUAAAGCGUGCGCAGGCGGUUGUGCAAGACCGAUGUGAAAUCCCCGGGCUCAACCUGGGAAUGGCAUUGGUGACUGCACGGCUAGAGUGUGUCAGAGGGGGGUAGAAUUCCACGUGUAGCAGUGAAAUGCGUAGAGAUGUGGAGGAACACCGAUGGCGAAGGCAGCCCCCCUGGGAUAACACUGACGCUCAUGCACGAAGACGUGGGGAGCAAACAGG
rnacentral:rRNA from 1 species